rnacentral:rRNA from 1 species
CCUACGGGAGGCAGCAGUGGGGAAUAUUGCACAAUGGGGGGAACCCUGAUGCAGCGACGCCGCGUGAGUGAAGAAGUAUUUCGGUAUGUAAAGCUCUAUCAGCAGGGAAGAAAAUGACGGUACCUGACUAAGAAGCCCCGGCUAACUACGUGCCAGCAGCCGCGGUAAUACGUAGGGGGCAAGCGUUAUCCGGAUGUACUGGGUGUAAAGGGAGCGCAGACGGCUGUGCAAGUCUGGAGUGAAAGGCGGGGGCCCAACCCGCGGACUGCUCUGGAAACUGUAAAGCUGGAGUGCAGGAGAGGUAAGCGGAAUUCCUAGUGUAGCGGUGAAAUGCGUAGAUAUUAGGAGGAACACCAGUGGCGAAGGCGGAUUACUGGACUGCAACUGACGUUGAGGCUCGAAAGCGUGGGGAGCAAACAGGAUUAGAUACCCUUGUAGUC